CACGUAGGGGCCAAGCGUUGUCCGGAUUUAUUGGGCGUAAAGAGCUCGUAGGCGGUUGGGUAAGUCGGGUGUGGAAACUCUAGGCUCAACUUGGAGACGCCACCCGAUACUGCUCUGACUUGAGUUCGGUAGGGGAGUGGGGAAUUCCUGGUGUAGCGGUGAAAUGCGCAGAUAUCAGGAGGAACACCGGUGGCGAAGGCGCCACUCUGGGCCGAAACUGACGCUGAGGAGCGAAAGCGUGGGUAGCAAACAGG
rnacentral:rRNA from 1 species